rnacentral:rRNA from 1 species
UACGUAGGGUGCAAGCGUUAUCCGGAAUUAUUGGGCGUAAAGAGCUCGUAGGCGGCUUGUCACGUCGGGUGUGAAAGCCCGGGGCUUAACCCCGGGUCUGCAUUCGAUACGGGCUAGCUAGAGUGUGGUAGGGGAGAUCGGAAUUCCUGGUGUAGCGGUGAAAUGCGCAGAUAUCAGGAGGAACACCGGUGGCGAAGGCGGAUCUCUGGGCCACUACUGACGCUGAGGAGCGAAAGCGUGGGGAGCGAACAGG